rnacentral:rRNA from 1 species
UACACACCGCCCGUCACACCAUGGGAGUGGGUUUGCACCAGAAGUAGCUAGUCUAACCUUCGGGAGGACGGUUACCACGGUGUGAUUCAUGACUGGGGUG